rnacentral:tRNA from 1 species
UUUAUGCCAUGGUGGUCGCUUCACGUUGUGCCCGCUGUCGCCGGGCAGUGCUCCCAUCGUGCGAGACGACGGCAUUCAGC